rnacentral:rRNA from 1 species
AUACGGAGGAUGCGAGCGUUAUCCGGAUUUAUUGGGUUUAAAGGGAGCGUAGGUGGGAUAUUAAGUCAGCUGUGAAAGUUUGGGGCUCAACCUUAAAAUUGCAGUUGAUACUGGUUUCCUUGAGUACGGUACAGGUGGGCGGAAUUCGUGGUGUAGCGGUGAAAUGCUUAGAUAUCACGAAGAACUCCGAUCGCGAAGGCAGAUCACCGGGCCUGAACUGACACUGAUGCUCGAAAGUGCGGGUAUCAAACAGGAUUAGAUACCCUGGUAGUCCACACAGUAAACGAUGAAUACUCGCUGUUUGCGAUAUACAGUAAGCGGCCAAGCGAAAGCAUUAAGUAUUCCACCUGGGGAGUACGCCGGCAACGGUGAAACUCAAAUGAAUUGGCGGGG